GUGGCCGAGCGGUUUAAGGCACCGGUCUUGAAAACCGGCGAGGAUGUGAGUCCUCCGUGAGUUCUUAUCUUUACCA
rnacentral:tRNA from 1 species